GUGGAUUAGAUACCCUGGUAGUCCACGCUGUAAACGUUGCGAACUAGGUGUCGGGGGUAUUCACCCCUCCGGUGCCGAAGCUAACGUCUUAAGUUCGCCGCCUGGGAAGUACGGCCGCAAGGCUAAAACUCAAAGGAAUUGACGGGGGCCCGCACAAGCGGUGGAGCAUGUGGUUCAAUUCGAUGCAACGCGAAGAACCUUACCUGGGCUUGACAUCCCGAGAAUCCCCCAGAAAUGGGGGAGUGCCCGUAAGGGAACUCGGAGACAGGUGCUGCACGGUCGUCGCCAACU
rnacentral:rRNA from 1 species